UGCAGACAGCUAAAAGCUGGUGUUGCUCAGAGGAUUUCAGCCCGACAUCACAUGGUGUUGGGAUAGACAACAAGCAGAAGGGGGAAGUUUACCAAGUUAUUAAGUUACUUAUUGGUCACAUUGGGUUUUUUGUUUCCUUUUUAUUAAGUGGUUGUGAAAGUGAACUCCAGCUGGCCUGCUUCGAUAGGGGCCGACCCAGGCAUUUGAACCUUUCCACCUUCAUUCUGCUGUUCACAGGGAAGCACCAAGCGCUGCAGCGCGAUAGUGAAGUAUUUUGACGUUAUGGAAAUCAAGUGGCUGGGAAGGACCCCCCUCCAGAGCUGGGGUCACCCUCGGGCUCUCCGCCUGCUGCCCUUUCCGACAUCGGUGCUGAAGGAGUCCAACCCUGGGGUCCUAGGAUCAUCCACUGAACUUCAGGAGUGUUGAGACCUAAACGAAAGCUGGAGGCUGGUGCUUGGACUUCCCAGCUUUGUGACUCCAGGUGGGUGGACCACACAUUCCCCAGCUGGAGUGAGGAACUUUAAUUAGACACAGUGGAUGUUCUGUCCUGGCUUGCCGGAGAGUUUGACCAGCCUUUUUUCAUCAAGAGCUGAAUAAUUACAAGGAGGGACAGUUAUGCGCAGAGUAAGGGUGGAUUUAUAACCUGAAAAAAAUGACUGAACUAAUCAUUUUGGAAAUCACCAACUGAGCGGACAACUUGUGGAAAGUAAUCAAGGGGAAAAUACCAAUAGUAUCAAUGAAAGGUUAGUAGGAGAACUGUAUUGGGCUGUAUGACCUACCGCAGUCUGACAACCUCAUAUGAUGCAAAAUUAAUUGUUUUAUACUGCUGGCUUACAUAUGAUGUAUUCACACUGUUCCAAAGCGGACUAACUCCCUUCUUCUGAUAAUAUCUAGCGUCACCUGUUUGGUCUUCUUGCCAGGUCAUGAUACCACAACAGCACUUAAAUAAAGGGGAACCUGGAAAAAAAAAAAAAUCUGUGCAUCAAAAUAAUGAAUCUAGCUUCCCUGUCAUCACUUCAAGAGCUGUGUGGCAGCUAAUUGUGCUGCAAACCUAAAAUGAACAGUGUAUGGAAUAAGACUAUUCAAACUAAAAAACAGUUUUAUUUAUAUCCUUCAGGUUUCAUGAUGACCACACUCACCACCCAAAUUUUAUUGGAAUUGUAUAACAAACUCCUAAAGCACACACCUGUACCAAAUGUUCAGAUAAAACAAGGCCAGAUUAGCAUUUUUUGCUUACUGUUUGAGAAGCAUCAAUCUUGUGGUUCUGAAGGUUAAUUAAAAGCAAAUGAACAUGAAAGGCUCUAAUUUGCUACAUAUUAUUCAUUUAAUUUGCAUGUACAGAAUGGGGGUUUUUGUUAUCUUUGUUUAAAUUUUAUCACCGUGGGAGAAUCACUUGCAUGAUGAUUUUAGGGCUCCUUUCCCAUCCCUAGUUCCUCUGUUUGGAGUUCAAAAUGUUAGCCGUGCCUCUCCCGGUACUUUCCUUCCACUUUCCUUCCUCCAUUCGAAAGGUACCUAGUUGUACUAAUCAGCUAGCCUUCUGCAUGGCAGCAAGCAGUCGUGCUGGCCAGAGAACAUAACUGGUACAAUUUCCUUAUGCAACAAGUUACAAUCUCUCUAGUGCCUGGGAUGCUUUCUAUUUCUGCCUUCCCACGGACAAGUCUUAUGCACCCGUGUCCAAACAAGGACCACAGACUAGCAUUUCACGAUCAGCAAUAUGGAUUCUGAUUAAGGGCACCCACAAAAAACGACCCUGUCCAAAUAGCGAU